ensembl:snRNA U6 U6 spliceosomal RNA
AUGCUUGCUUAAGCAGCAUAUAUACUAAAAUUGGAACAAUACAGAGAAAAUUAGCAUGUCCCCUGAGCAAGGAUGACAAGCAAAUUCGUGAAUGAACAAGACAGAAU